GGCUGGCCAGCGCCAUGGGGCUUUGAAACAUGGAUUUCCCAACUUUGACGUGAUGGGAGCAAAAGCUGCUGGAGGCACAGAACCCUGGUCCUUCUGUUUCAUUGGUGGCUUUCUGAAUUCCAAUAUGGCACUUAUUUUGAUGCUGCUUGUGCUACCACUGACUUGUCUCACGGAGAGUCUGCUUUGGAAAUUUCAUGAUUGACGUUUCCAAAUGCUACUAUCUGCUGGAUUUGGAUACCACAGCUGAAACCCCAAGGGAGCCAAGAUACUCCUCCAACGAAGAGGAGUGGGUAACCAUUGCCUACAAGCCAUUCCUAGAUACCUCCAGGUAUGUUUUACAUGUUUGAAAGGGAAUGCGAAAGUGUGACAGAUCUGUGAACUAUUUUCACGCAACAAUCAGCUUACAAUAGUAGUUAUACACAGCAAGGAAAGAAAUGUUGGCAAAUGCCAGCUUGAAAUCCAAUUUCCAGUAAAGGCAGCUUGCUGGCUACGGUAGAGCCACUGUCAAACUUGUAUGUGCACCUAGGUUGCUUUAGAGGAUGAAGCAAGUCAGGAAGAGUGGGGAACAAGGAUUAUUUUACAUCUUGUUGAUGUAAUGUUUUUUGUUUUCCUUUCUAAAGAAAUAAGGUGUAUGUCAUCUCUUCCAGUAGACUUCUGAAUCUUGUUUCAGCCAAAUUCAGUAGACAGGUGUAAGUCAGUCCCAAAGAGUGAACUCUCAGAAGUUUCACAAAAGCUGGCAGAAGAAGAGAGGAGGCAGCCACAGUGGGUGAAAGUGAUCAAGGUCGCACCUUUAUUAGACAUGGAGAAGUCCUGUAACAGACCCCUGUCAGAAUCCAGGUUUUCAUUAGUUCUGCUGCUCUCUUAGUAACUUGUUAGUGUAUUUGACAAAGAAUUUUUUUGAGAAGCAAAGGUUGCAAUUGCCAUCCUCCAGGCUAACAGUGGGAUCCAGCUUGUCAAACUAGGAGAGUUUUUAACGCAUCCCUACGAAAACAAACCCUCAGCUAUUUGGGGAUGGUUUUUCCACUGUUUCAAGCUUUGGCCAUGCAGUUGUCAUAUCAGGGCAGAGUGGUUGACUGGAAAAGUCUCUUAAACAAACAAACACUAACAGAGUUCAGUGCCUUCCUGUUUUCUAUAUGAGACCUUAUUAUUUCCUCCUAAUAGAUCCCUCCAGGGAGUGGGGCUGGUGAAAGCAGUUGGACAGUGAGAAAGAGUGAUAUUAUGCUUUUCCCAGGGGUUGCUGUAAUGUUCCCAGCUUACUGACACAAACAAGUCUCCUGGCAUGGCUUUUCAUGAACUGUGCUUGUCUGAAGACCUGCUGUUAUGUUAGAGCACAACUUCAGGAGAGGA
rnacentral:lncRNA from 1 species